rnacentral:misc_RNA from 1 species
AAGACUAUAGACCUGCGGAGUACCUGCGGAAGGAUCAUUACCGAAAGGCGCCCUCGGGCGCCGCGUCGGCUCAAACCGGUGGAAGUGACCCGUGCUUCGGCGCUCCGGCGCCGCCUUGACGCUCGAAUCUGUCCGACGUCUGAAUAGGAACAUUUGAAUCAAAACUUUCAACAACGGAUCUCU